GACGAACGCUGGCGGCGUGCUUAACACAUGCAAGUCGAACGGAAAGGCCUGCAGCUUGCUGCGGGUACUCGAGUGGCGAACGGGUGAGUAACACGUGGGUGAUCUGCCUUGCACUUCGGGAUAAGCUUGGGAAACUGGGUCUAAUACCGGAUAGGACAGCUGUUUAGUGUCAGUUGUGGAAAGUUUUUUCGGUGCAAGAUGAGCUCGCGGCCUAUCAGCUUGUUGGUGGGGUAAUGGCCUGCCAAGGCGUCGACGGGUAGCCGGCCUGAGAGGGUGUACGGCCACAUUGGGACUGAGAUACGGCCCAGACUCCUACGGGAGGCAGCAGUGGGGAAUAUUGCACAAUGGGCGGAAGCCUGAUGCAGCGACGCCGCGUGGGGGAUGAAGGCCUUCGGGUUGUAAACUCCUUUCGACAGGGACGAAGCUUUUGUGACGGUACCUGUAGAAGAGGCACCGGCUAACUACGUG
rnacentral:rRNA from 1 species